CCGUCCGAGUUGUAAUCUAGAGAAGCGUCUUCCGCGCUGGACCGUGUACAAGUCUCCUGGAAGGGAGCGUCAUAGAGGGUGAGAAUCCCGUCUUUGACACGGACCCCCAAGUGCUAUGUGAUGCGCUCUCGAAGAGUCGAGUUGUUUGGGAAUGCAGCUCAAAAUGGGUGGUAAAUUCCAUCUAAAGCUAAAUACAGGCGAGAGACCGAUAGCGAACAAGUACCGUGAGGGAAAGAUGAAAAGAACUUUGGAAAGAGAGUUAAACAGUACGUGAAAUUGCUGAAAGGGAAACGCUUGAUGUCAGUCGCGUCCGCCAGGGAUCAACCUUGCUUCAUUGCUGGGCGUAUUUCUUGGUCGGACGGGUCAGCAUCAGUUUCCAUCGUCGUACAAUGGCGGAGGGAACGUGGCACCUCUAGGGGUGUGUUAUA
rnacentral:rRNA from 1 species